rnacentral:lncRNA from 1 species
UGAAGCGAACCCUCGUAUUGCUUUGCCGCAGCUUGUUAACGACCAAUUGCUUUCCAGCUCGUAGCAGGAGCAGCUGUAACAGCAGCAGUUGUGGUGGGGGAAUUCGUACCUCUCAUACAUGUCGGUCAAUCGUGGCUUCUCUAAAAUGGCUACACGCCAGCAGCUGGCUGCAUUUCUGCACCAUGUCCACCUUGUGAAAAACCAUUGUCUGAAGCAUGGUAAGGAAUCCCUCGAAGGAGGAAUCUCCAUUGGCAUCUGAGCAAAUGACUGUAGCAAGUUCUUCGCAGAAAACUAUGUUAUUAAAAUG